UACGAAGGGGGCGAGCGUUGUUCGGAUUUACUGGGCGUAAAGGGCGCGUAGGCGGCGCAACAAGUCAGGCGUGAAAGCCCCGGGCUCAACCUGGGAGGUGCGCUUGGGACUGUUGUGCUUGAGUUCGGGAGAGGAGAGUGGAAUUCCCAGUGUAGAGGUGAAAUGCGCAGAUAUCAGGAGGAACACCGGUGGCGAAGGCGGGUCUCUGGGCCGAUACUGACGCUGAGGAGCGAAAGCGUGGGGAGCGAACAGG
rnacentral:rRNA from 1 species